AGCAAUGGUUAGUCAAAGACUAAUUAUUCAAUAGUUAGUUAAGGACUAAUUAUUUCCUGCUACUAAGGCAAGAAUCUUCUAAAUACUGGACCAAAUGCUCUGGAAAUAGGGAAGAUUUCCAGUCUGAUUGGUGGAAACAGGCACUAUGCCUGAUCUGGUGUUUUCGCAUAGUUCUUUCCCUGGCGUUUUAUCUGAUUCUGUGCUGGUAUAUCAGAAUUCUAUAGACUGGGUAAUUUAUAAAUAAUAGAAAUUUAUUUCACAGUUCUGGAGGCUGGGAAGUACAAGGUCAAGGUGCCAACAGGUUUGGUGUUGGUAAUGGCCUGGUGUUCACUUCCAAGGUGGCUCUUGAAGGUGACAUCUUUUGAAGUGGAGGAACACUGUUCCUCACAUAGCAGAAGAGUGGAAGGGCCAAGCAAGGGAGAACCCACUCCUGGAUGGCUUUUAUAAAGGGAUUAAACCCACCCAUGCAGUUGGAGCCUUUGUGACCUAAUCACCUCUUAAAGGCUCUACCUUCCAAUACCGUUACAUUGGCAAUUAAAUUUUAACAUGCAUUUUGGAGGGGACAGACAUUCAAACUAUAGAAGCUGGCUCGUGUAGUUUUCUCACUUACAUGUGCUGAUCACCUUCUGCUAGUCUCCAUGAUUAUUAUUCUAUGCUGCUCACUCCUUUCUGAUACCUCAUCAUGCAAAUUCUGGUUUCCUUGUUCUUCUUGCAGUCUGAGCGUCGCCUCCUCAUGUAGGAGUUCUCUAGGAUUUAUCCGAUCCCUUCCUCGCCACAUACUGUGGCCUGAGGACUCUCAAGGUAGUCAACUGGGGUAAUCACAGGUCUUGCCUCAUUUUUUUUUUCUCAUCUCUUAGAGAUCACUGUCCUUGGUUGCCUGAUAUCCAGUAGUGUCUUGAGAACUAUUGUCAUUCUAUUUGUUUAUUUUGGGUUGUUUUAGAAGGCAGCAUACAUGCAGUCCCUGUUACUUAUUUAGUUUUGGUCAAAAGGGCAAGUCCCAGCAUAGAUUUCAACUAUUAUUCCAUUUCAUAGGUGAGGAAACGGAGGCACCAAGAGAUUAAGUGUGUUUUCUAAGCUUUCACAGCUUGGUAGUAGUAGAGCUAGAAUUCAAAUACUAGCUCUUGAAUACUUGAGCAGUAUAACUUCAGAAUCUACAAUUUUAAUUACUACUGUCUACUUUCUUAUUACUUUGAAGUUUGCUGAGAACUGUGACAAACAUUUCAUUAAAUUUUUUGUAGCUAACAUGAACAGAAUGUGAAUGUCCAAUGGUCCUUAACUCCACAUCCCCAUAAUAUUUACAUUUUCAAAAGAAUAUGCUUAUUUAUUUGGUAUGGUUAUUUAUCUGUCAUGUACUAUUAAAUGUAUGAUAGAAAUAUCAUCUAUUCUAACAAUCAAAAAUGAGAAAUAUUUAUGAAGUAUAGCAGAAGCUGUUUUUAAUUAUUAACUCUUUCAGUUUUACUCUACCUUGAAAUUUUCUGGCUUGUUUUCCUAAGUUGUUCUAAAUUUUUGCCAACUUCUCUUAAUCCAUUGCUCAGACUGUUACCAAUGGCCUAAAAGUUUCCCUUAUUUAAACCUUUGUAUCCAUUCAUCAAAAACUGGGAAAUAUGGUGGUUAUUUAUAAGUAAAUCACUUAAAAAUGAAGAGCUAUAAGUAAUUUAAUACCUUGCCUUUUUCCUUCUGGAAGCAUUCAGAGGUCUUUCCAUUAGCUUUUAGAUUCCAAUUUGUUCUUGUUAGAACUUUUGUUUGUCCUUGAGUGCCUAACUAUUAGGCAGCCAGGAGAGAUAUGUGGGAAAGUACUUUUGUUUACUGCUGCAUUACAGGUAACUAGAAACAGUGCCUGAGAUGGUGGCUUAAUAUUGUUGAAUGAAUGAGUGAAUGGAUGGAUGAAUGAAUCAAGCUGGUGGCCAGCUGGAGGAGCCUAAGGAAGACUAGACUAGACUGGGCAAACAUACGCUGUAGUUAGCAUAUUCAGUAUGACGUGAAUACCCAGCACCCAGGCAAUUGAGUCUUGACUAUAUUGCGCCUGGCUUUGGGAUACGGGUAUGUUCUACUUAUAUUUGAAUACAGUUGAGUUUUGAUUUCAGAAUUUGUCAUACUUAAAAUAAGGAAAUCAUACCGACGCUAAGAAGAUACUAGAAAAUUGAGUUUAUCCUUUCUUUUACUUAUACUGUCUUCACUGGAAAUUUUAAAUAGGUGUUACAAUGAAGAGGCAAUUCGUAAGUGCACUAGUAUUUUGAGCAUUUUUAAAAAAUGAAAACACAUAAAAAGCAUUAACUAGAACUGCCAGGCAAAAUAGCUCUCCUGUUUAAUAGUUUCCAUCAGUCCUCAGUUUAAUUACCACAUUAUUCUGCCAGCUUUCUCCAGAAAUAAUUGACUGAAUGAAGUCACUGCAUUUGAUAUUUACAAACACUAGACUUGUAAAGGGGGUAUCUGUCAAUUCCCCUUUGGCUUGGAAAUGACUAAGGCUAACCUGGCAGUACACAACUGCUAUUUUAGGCUCAGCAUAUUUUCAUAGUCACUGACUUGGGGAAGGAAAGAGAGGCAGUAUUUGAUGGGCCUGAAAAGAAGUCUGAUGAAACAGAUGUUACUUGAAGCUGAGUGACUUUCUCAGGGUCAAGCAAAUAAGUAAAUGGAGGAGUCAGAAUUAUAUCCCAGGUUUGGAUUAUUGAGGUUUCAGGAUGACUUAGUGACUCACCUGGCUCACAGAAUCUUGGGAAAUUUGAUCGUCCUCAACAUGGAGGUGGUAUCCAGGAAGAGAGCAGUGCAAUGUCCCCAGCCCGGCUUAAAGAAGAACAUUUUGAUAAAGCCUAUUGAAAGAGACUGAGGUGCAUAAAGAUGAAGUAACAUGUCCAAGGGCAGGAGCCCAGGCCUCUAACCAUCAUCUCCUGUCCUGUAUACUCUAAUCAGUAUGGAACUGUGCUGUAUAUCACUAUAUAAGACAAUAUAUGAAGUCCCAACUAUUCCCAAAGAAUUGUUUCCUCUGGUUCUUCCCAGGAAGCUAAGAAACAUAUAUUUUAAGAAAUUGAUGAAGAUUUCAUGGCUGACACGUGGUAGAAUUCAGAUUUGAACAUAGUUGUGUCUGCUUCCAAAGCAUGCUGUAUGCCCAAGCAAUAAUUCUUGCACCAAGUCCCCUCCAAGGAGAGACCCUGGGUAAUGACAAUCUCUGGUGUCAACUAAGAUUCUUAAGGACUGUAUCCUGGUUGUGAUUCCUAUGUGACCUGAAGGCCAUCUCGGCACCGGGAAAGAAAUGCAAGAAGGUCCUUAUCGGUCAGGUGCCCUAUAAGGGGGACCAAGUGGAUGGGGGAAUAGAAUGAAAUGGUGGAGAAGAUGGAAAGUGAGUAGGGAAGAACAUGGCUAAGAAUCAGGAGACCAUUUGUUCACUCAUUCAUGAGUUAUUUAAUAGCCUUGUUUAGUUAUAGGAGGCUUUGAAAAUUUAGGUAAGAGGACACAUAUCCUCUUAGAGAAGGUCCUGUCCCCUGUCUAUAAAAUUCAUUAUCCUAUGUAGCCUGUCAAUUUCAUAGGCUUGAGACAAAUUAUUGUCUACCCCAUGAGUCCCUCCAUGUCCCCUGGAGAACCCCUCUAUAACCACUUCUUUGUGUGACAUACACACAUACCCCAAAAUCAAAUUCAUGCUGUCUCAUUUCCUGAGGAUUUAAAUCUAAGAAUGUCAAGUUCUGCCAAUAAAUGGGGAUUAACCUUUUUGACUGCACUUUUAAAAUUUUUUCAAGUAUUUACAUUUCUUCGAGGAUUUAGGUUGGUCCAAAGGCACUCGCUCCAUUUAUGUUGGUUCGAGAACCAACGUAAAUCCUGGAAGAAACGUAAUUUUCUUGUACAGAGAAUGUCAGGGGAGAAAUCUGGAGGAUCAAAGCUUUGUGGGAGUUCACAUGACACCUAAGGCUAGCUAAGUGCUUGUAGUACUACAGCUAACUCUUCCCUUGUGCUCUCAUUAUCUGGCUGAGAAGGGGAGAAGAACCAAGGCAAAACCAUGCAGGACUAACCAGAGACCCACUGAAUCCAGAUGACAUCAUAUCUCCUGAAGGGGGGUGUGAAUUCCUGCAGGCUGUAGCAGUGGUAGCUUUCUACUUUGUCACCUUUGAUCUGCAGAUAGUUCUGGGCUUCAAGGAGGAAGGAUUCCAUCAUAUCCACCAGCUCCACACUGUUGAAAACAGGCAAUAAGACGUGUUUGCUGACCCUUCCUAUCCCGGAGCCGCAGUCCAAGGCACAGUCUGUUCCGGCUCUCCCAGGCCCCUGCAGAAAGGCACCUUGAUACUUCAAGUGCAGAGACCCAUCCUUGAAACUUGCACACCCUAGUCCUCUUUAAAUCAACUUUAUUAGGCUCUGGACAAACACACUGGGUGCUCCAGGAAGAUUGGAUUUGAAGUGAACUUCACUUCAACACUAGAGAUAUUGAUAUUUUGCUACUAAUUCAGGAAAUCAAUAAGUCAAUCCAAGAUCCCAAAGGGCAUGAUCUCUCAUCAAUCAUUUGAGUAUCAAAUGUUUAUGAGACUCUAAAAGAGAUGUCUUCUUUAUUCCCAAAUUUUAUAUCAACACUGCUAAUUCACCUUCCUCUGAAGCAUGUAAGAUUAGUUGGCAAUAGGAGGGUGAAAUGUCAAGUGGCAUAAACCAGUGAUACAAUAUUUAUCAUAUCAUAAAUAGUUCAUCCUUUCUGAACAUCUUAAAACUGGAUUUCAGGCUGAACUCUUGGCUGAGCCAUAUGGCUUAGUCGUGACUUAAGUAACAACACAGAGGAAUGUGAGCUUAAUGUUUGCAAGGACUUUGCCUUCUCAUCAAGCUGUAGUUGAAUAACUCACCCCAACAAAUUUCCUAAGAAAUUUCUGAGAUGCCUGGAUGUCUGGGCUGGAUAAUUCAAUGAAAUUUCCCAUCAUACCCUCUUCUGUGGCUGGUACUUCCUGGUAGAAAAGUUUAGCUCUGGCAUAGAACUGCAUCUCACCAUUGAUGACUUGGCUUGUUAAAGCAUACAAUUUCACUGCAAAUGAAACAUUAUUAAUAGUUAUUAAUAUUUAUAAGAUUAAAAAGCUUAGCCUUAUGCAUUGCAUUUCCUUUUAAAAAGCCUAUGAAUCUGUGCUGUGGAUAAAAGAGCACUGAUUUGAAGUCAAAGAUUUGGGUUUGAAUUUUGGCUCUUUGGCUUACAUGCUAUGUAAUGCUGGGAAAACUUCCUAACUCCUCUGAUCUUCAGAGAUUACAUCUAUAAAUGACAAUCAUGUAGCAUUUUCAUGAUUUAAUAACUAUAGUUUAAUAAACCCAUGACUAUAUCACUGUAUUAAAUAUUUUAACAGUGUUAGCUACAAUAAGAUAAAGAAUGUCGUCAAUUUUGUGGUAAGUUUUAUCUCUGAGCUCCAAAUGUUUUCUGAGAAAUUUCUCAUUAAGCUUAUAAUAAAGUUUAAUGAAAAAAUUACUUCUAAUCAUAAGGUACGGGUAACUGUUUUUAUAUCUUUUUCAAGCAACACAUAUCCAAAUAUGUCUUCAUACCAAUAUUAUGGAAAUGUCCUUGAACUCUACAUUGUGAAAAUAAAUUUGUAACAAGAGACAUAAUAUUAUUGUGCAGCCACUCUGUACUAGGUAGUAUGCCAGGCACAUUCACAUAUAGUUUGUCAUUUCAUUAUUUUCAAAAAUGUAUGAGAAAAAUAUGUGUUCCAACUUCUGAAGAAUAAAAUAAAUGAGAGUACAUGUAAGUGUGUUUUCCAAACCAAAAUUCACCCAUGCAGAUAUAAAAUAUUUUCAUCAGAAGACAUUCAUAAUGAAAUGAUAAGCAGUAGAUUAAAGGAUGAAACUUCCAGUUCCCAGAUUGUAGGCUGAGUACAUGCAUUUGUCUUCUCUCCCUCCCAAUAUUCCCUGAGAAUUCUCUUAAAACACUAAACCCAUAAUAGUGAAGAAAAUGAGAGGGCAUUACUGAUGGAUUCAUGAUUCCAAUAAAUUUCUGGAAAACAAAAAGCAGAUGGAACAAAGCUAAAGAAUUUGCAGACCAAAAUAUUCACAAGAGGAAAUUACAUUCCAGACUUAGAAUCAACAGGAAGGCAAGUGUAAGAAUGAGAAUGAAAGCCAAAAAAAAGCAUUAA